CGGGGCAUAGCGCAGCCCGGUAGCGCAUCUGCUUUGGGAGCAGAGGGUCGGGAGUUCGAAUCUCUCUGCCCCGACCA
rnacentral:tRNA from 1 species